rnacentral:rRNA from 1 species
AUUGAACGCUGGCGGCAUGCCUUACACAUGCAAGUCGAACGGCAGCACGGGAGCAAUCCUGGUGGCGAGUGGCGAACGGGUGAGUAAUAUAUCGGAACGUGCCCAGUAGUGGGGGAUAACUGCUCGAAAGAGCAGCUAAUACCGCAUACGACCUGAGGGUGAAAGGGGGGGAUCGCAAGACCUCUCGCUAUUGGAGCGGCCGAUAUCAGAUUAGCUAGUUGGUGGGGUAAAGGCCUACCAAGGCAACGAUCUGUAGUUGGUCUGAGAGGACGACCAGCCACACUGGGACUGAGGCACGGCCCAGACUCCUACGGGAGGCAGCAGUGGGGAAUUUUGGACAAUGGGCGCAAGCCUGAUCCAGCAAUGCCGCGUGCAGGAAGAAGGCCUUCGGGUUGUAAACUGCUUUUGUCAGGGAAGAAAUCCUCUAGGUUAAUACCUGGGGUCGAUGACGGUACCGGAAGAAUAAGGACCGGCUAACUACGUGCCAGCCGCCGCGGUAACAC